rnacentral:rRNA from 1 species
UACGGAGGGUGCGAGCGUUAAUCGGAAUUACUGGGCGUAAAGCGUGCGCAGACGGUCACGUAAGUCGGGUGUGAAAGCCCCGGGCUCAACCUGGGAAUUGCAUUCGAGACUGCGUGGCUAGGGUGCGGAAGAGGGAAGCGGAAUUUCCGGUGUAGCGGUGAAAUGCGUAGAUAUCGGAAGGAACACCAGUGGCGAAAGCGGCUUCCUGGUCCAGCACCGACGUUCAGGCACGAAAGCGUGGGGAGCAAACAGG